UAGCAGUUAACAAGAGCCACCCUGCUAGGUUUUUCAGUUCCUAGUGAAAACUCUUCAGGGCUGGAAGUAGAAUUUUCUCAAUUGAGAGCUCUUGCCUUGGAAAUGGCUCCAUUUGGGAGUUUGCUGGAACCACAGCUAAGACUAAUGAGCUUCAAGGCGUGAUGUAUGAAAGGGGCUUACAAAGUUGGAGCUACCAGUGGAUGAAUUUAAUUCCCGCUCAUUCCAAAUCAGGGCUACGAAAGCUUCGGCCCAACUUGGGUGAGGGGCCACAGUGAUGCAGGCAAUUGGGUGAUGGCAUUCAAAUGCAUACAGGAUGUAGGGGAGACCCCAGCCCCCCCCAAUGAUGGCGAAGAAGGGCAGCACUGCCCCAGCAGCAGGAUGGCUAGGACUCAGCUGGGGAUGAUGUGGAAAUGAUGAUGAUCUGCACUGUACAAUUUAUUGCUGGUUACUCCCAGAUAUUUUAAGUGAAUAAAUUUGUGGCCUAAUUAAACCA